rnacentral:pre_miRNA from 1 species
GAGGGGAGCAACGGAUCCUGGGCUGUGUCCCCCCGCGCCCUGAGCACCCGGGCCUGCGCUACUGGAGUCGCACUCUGGCCGAGCGGCCCCCU